CCAGACUCCUACGGGAGGCAGCAGUGGGGAAUAUUGCACAAUGGGCGCAAGCCUGAUGCAGCCAUGCCGCGUGUAUGAAGAAGGCCUUCGGGUUGUAAAGUACUUUCAGCAGUGAGGAAGGGGUGUGUGUUAAUAGCGCACAUCUUUGACGUUAGCUGCAGAAGAAGCACCGGCUAACUCCGUGCCAGCAGCCGCGGUAAUACGGAGGGUGCGAGCGUUAAUCGGAAUUACUGGGCGUAAAGCGCAUGCAGGUGGUUUGUUAAGUCAGAUGUGAAAGCCCGGGGCUCAACCUCGGAAUAGCAUUUGAAACUGGCAGACUAGAGUACUGUAGAGGGGGGUAGAAUUUCAGGUGUAGCGGUGAAAUGCGUAGAGAUCUGAAGGAAUACCGGUGGCGAAGGCGGCCCCCUGGACAGAUACUGACACUCAGAUGCGAAAGCGUGGGGAGCAAACAGGAUUAGAUACCCUGGUAGUCCACGCCGUAAACGAUGUCUACUUGGAGGUUGUGGCCUUGAGCCGUGGCUUUCGGAGCUAACGCGUUAAGUAGACCGCCUGGGGAGUACGGUCGCAAGAUUAAAACUCAAAUGAAUUGACGGGGGCCCGCACAAGCGGUGGAGCAUGUGGUUUAAUUCGAUGCAACGCGAAGAACCUUACCUACUCUUGACAUCCAGAGAACUUUCCAGAGAUGGAUUGGUGCCUUCGGGAACUCUGAGACAGGUGCU
rnacentral:rRNA from 1 species